UGAGCAAUCUGCCCUUCUCAUCGGAAUAAGCGUUGGAAACGACGUCUAAUGCCGAAUACGACCUCCUUUCGCAUGAUCGGAGGUGGAAAGCUCCGGCGGAGAAGGAUGGACUCGCGGCCUAUCAGCUAGUUGGUGAGGUAACGGCUCACCAAGGCGACGACGGGUAGCUGGUCUGAGAGGAUGGCCAGCCACAGUUGGGACUGAGACACCGGCCCAGACCUGUACGGGAG
rnacentral:rRNA from 1 species